UUCUGAUUAGGAUUGAACAGAUAAAGAAGGUGUAUUAGUCUGUUUUCACACUGUUAUAAAGAACCACCUAAGACUGAGCAAUUUAUGAAGGAAAGAGAUUUAAUUGACUCGUAUUUCCGCAUGGUGUGGAGGCCUCAGGAAACUUACAAUCAUGGUGGAAGGCAAAAGGGAAGCAGGCACCUUCUUCACAGGAAUGCAGGAAAGACAGAAAGGGAAGGGCAAGUGCCACACUUUUUAAACCACAGAUCUCAUGAGAACUCACUGACUAUUACGAGAACAUCGUGGGGGAAACCACUCCCAUGAUUCAGUCACCUCCCUCCCAGUCCCUCCCUCGACAUGUGGGGAUUACAAUUCAAGAUGAGUUUUGUUUGGGGAGACAGAGCCAAACCAUAUCAGAGGGGGUAUCUGGGAAUCAAUAAGAG
rnacentral:lncRNA from 1 species